GAUGGAUGGAUAGAUAGAUAGAUAGAUAGAUAGAUAGAUAGAUAGAUAGAUAUGCAUGGAUAGAUAGAUAGAUAGAUAGAUAGAUAGACGGAUGGACGGACGGACAGAUAGAUAGAAAUGCAUGGGAUAGAUGAUAGAUAGAUAGAUAGAUAGAUAGAUAGAUAGAUAGAUAGAUAGAUAGAUAGAUAGAUAGAUAGAUAGAUAGAUAGAUAGAUAGAUAGAUAGAUAGAUAGAUAGAUAGAUAGAUAGAUAGAUAGAUAGAUAGAUAGAUAGAUAGAUAGAUAUGCAUGGAUAGAUGGAUGGAUGGAUGGAUGGAUGGACGGACGGACGGAUGGACGGACGGCUAGAUAGAUGUGUGUGAGUGUGUAGUAAUGAUCAGUGUGUUGUGUUGUGUUGUGUUGUGUUGUGUUGUGUGUGGUCAGAGUGGUGUGUGUUGUGUGCAGCUGUUGUGUGUCCUGCAGCAGGUCUCCUCCAGCAUCAGUGUGUGUGGUGUGUUUUCUCUGCUGAACCUGCGGGAGAAGCUGAUCUCUGAACAGGGGCUCCGAGACGGCGGCGUACAGACAUCACUGAACCGAGAGCUGCACACACUCUCUACGGCCUGCAGUCAGCUGACCAUAAACCCCAAACACCUGAGCAUUCUGGGAGAAAUACCUGCACACUUCAGGAUCCUGCUGCUGCAGCACUCUGAGGACAGUUCUGUGCUGUAUGGAGGGUUUUAUGAGAAGGUUAAAGCCACAGACACACAGAAGGGGAAGACUGUGACAGGUAACCAUAUGACACACAUUUACAUAUACCUGCAGCACUUCUUUAACUAUGAAAAUAGGCCAAAGUUAUG
rnacentral:lncRNA from 1 species